CCAAAGGCUCUUUUAAGAGCCACCCACAUUGCAAAAAUAGUGUUUU
rfam:Salmo salar isolate Sally breed double haploid chromosome ssa11, whole genome shotgun sequence.